rnacentral:rRNA from 1 species
AUUGAACGCUGGCGGAAUGCUUUACACAUGCAAGUCGAGCGGCAGCGCGGGGGCAACCCUGGCGGCGAGCGGCGAACGGGUGAGUAACAUAUCGGAACGUACCCCGUCGUGGGGAUAACACAGCGAAAGCUGUGCUAAUACCGCAUACGACCUGAGGGUGAAAGCGGGGGAUCGCAAGACCUCGCGCGAUGGGAGCGGCCGAUAUCGGAUUAGCUUGUUGGUGAGGUAAAGGCUCACCAAGGCGACGAUCCGUAGCUGGUCUGAGAGGACGACCAGCCACACUGGAACUGAGACACGGUCCAGACUCCUACGGGAGGCAGCAGUGGGGAAUUUUGGACAAUGGGGGCAACCCUGAUCCAGCCAUUCCGCGUGAGUGAAGAAGGCCU